rnacentral:lncRNA from 1 species
AGGUUGCAUUUCUGUCAGUGCCACCUUAACGGCAGCCCUGUUGGCUCAGCUCUCUGCUUCCAUCUGUGGUAUCUCAGUGCCUGCAGGUUGGCAUCCCCACAAUACUGUUCCUAUGUGCUUUUAAUGCCUCCAAAGAAAACUUCUUUGAACUACCACGUCAUCUUUCCAGUUCCCCCAGUUCCUUCCUGUUGUGCACAGAACCCUCAGUUGUUCAUCUUGGGCUCAUCAUGAGCUUCAGUCAUCUCAGUCAUAAUCACGGCCCUAAAACAAGCGUAAAAUCUCUCUGGAAAAGCCAAGCUGCUCCUGGGAUAAAACUUUCCAAGGUUUCAUCAAAAGAAACCCUUCUGUGAACAAGAAUUUAAUGGGCAAGAUCAGAAGACACAAGAAAGUCAACAGUUACAUAUGAAGAGUACACAUAGAAGAUCCAGCAAUAGAUAUUAAUUUUUAUACCAAAUUUGACACACCUCCAAGCAUAAAUAUACCAGCAGGAUUCUAUUGAAUUUUGAAGGUUAAAAGAAGGUCACAAACACACAAAUACCACAACAACUGGUACAUCUCUGCAUGUAUUCAGAUAUUCAAAACUAAAAAGCUUCAAUAUUUGUUCCAGAGUGAAUGUUUAUUACUCACAAACAUGACUUUCAGUCUCUUUUUUGAUGCCUAUACUCAAUAAGAAUUGCACUUCACACAACAACCAGUAUAGACACUUACAAAGAGAAACAGAAGUUUCAAGGACAGUUCUUACUAUAUGUAAACUAUACCAAAUAUAAAAUUUACCAUCAUAUUUUCUAUUCUAUCGUAUUUUAAAACAUUUUCCAACUCAUUAAUUAUUGAUCAUGAAUUUCAACUUCCUAAACUGUUAGUGGGAAUAUAAAUUGCUACAACCACUAUGGAAACAGCAUAGAGAUUCCUCAUAAGACUAAAUAUAGAACUACUAUAUGAUCCAUCAAUUCAACUCCUGAGCAUAUAUCCGAACAAAACUAUAAUUCAAAGAGACACAUGCACCCCUAUGUUCAUAGUGGCACUAUACACAACGUAAAUGUCCAUCGGCAGAGGGAUGGAUUAAGAAGGUAUGGUACAUACAUACAAUGGAAUACUACUCGGCCUUAAAAAAGAAUGAAAUAAUGCCAUUUGCAGCAACAUGGAUGAUGCAACUAGAGAUUAUCAUACUAAGUGAAGUAAGACAGAAAGAGAAAGACAAAUACCAUAUGAAAUCACUUAUACAUGGGAUCUAAACUAUGACACAAAUUAAUCUGUCUAUGAACAUAAGGAAACUCAUAUAUACAUGGAGAACAAACAGACUUGUGGUUGCCAAGAGAGAGUGUGGAGGGAGUAGGAUGGACUAGGAGUUUGGCGUUAGUAGAUGCUAACUAUCACAUUUAGAAUGGAUAAGCAAGGUCCUAGUGUACAGCACAGGGAACUAUAUCUGAUCUCCCCAAAUAGCCCAUGAUGGAAGAUAAUAUUAAAAAGAGUGUAUAUAGGAGUUCCCGUCGUGGUGCAGAGGAAAUGAAUCCGACCAGGAAACAUGAGGUUGUGGGUUCGAUCCCUGGUCUCGCUCAGUGGGUCAAGGAUCUGGCAUUGCCGUGAGCUGUAGUAUAGGUCACGGAUGCAGCAUGGAUCUGGCAUUGCUGUGGCUGUGGCGUAGGCCAGAGGCUACAGCCUCCGAUUAGACCCCCUAGCCUGGGAAUCUCCAUGUGCCGUGGGUGCAGCCCUAAAAAGACAAAAAGACAAAAAAAGAAGAGUGUGUAUAUAUAUGUAUGACUGAGUCACUUUGCUGUACAGCAGACAUUGGUACAACAUUGUAAAUCAACUAUAUUUUAAUAAAAUUAAAAAGCAAAUUGUACA